rnacentral:rRNA from 1 species
UACGUAGGGGGCAAGCGUUGUCCGGAUUUAUUGGGCGUAAAGAGCGUGUAGGCGGCUUGGUAGGUCCGCUGUGAAAACUCGAGGCUCAACCUCGAGAUGUCGGCGGAAACCACUUGGCUAGAGUCCGGAAGAGGAGAGUGGAAUUCCUGGUGUAGCGGUGAAAUGCGCAGAUAUCAGGAAGAACACCUAUGGCGAAGGCAGAUCUCUGGGACGGUACUGACGCUGAGACGCGAAAGCGUGGGGAGCGAACAGG